UACAGAGGAUGCAAGCGUUAUCCGGAAUGAUUGGGCGUAAAGCGUCUGUAGGUGGCUUUUUAAGUCCGCCGUCAAAUCCCAGGGCUCAACUCUGGACAGGCGGUGGAAACUACCAAGCUGGAGUACGGUAGGGGCAGAGGGAAUUUCCGGUGUAGCGGUGAAAUGCGUAGAUAUCGGAAGGAACACCAGUGGCGAAAGCGGCUUCCUGGUCCGACACCGACGUUCAGGCACGAAAGCGUGGGGAGCAAACAGG
rnacentral:rRNA from 1 species